rnacentral:rRNA from 1 species
AUUGAACGCUGGCGGCAGGCUUAACACAUGCAAGUCGAGCGAGCGGCGGACGGGUGAGUAAUGUCUGGGAAACGGCCUGAUGGAGGGGGAUAACUACUGGAAACGGUAGCUAAUACAGCAUACCAUCAGAUGUGCCAAGAUGGGAUUAGCUAGUAGGUGGGGUAAUGGCUCACCUAGGCGACGAUCACUAGCUGGUCUGAGAGGAUGACAAGCCAACCGUGACCUGGGACACGGUCGAGACUCCGACGGGAGGCAGCAGUGGGGAGUAUUGCACAAGGGGCGCAAGCCUGAUGCAGCCAUGCCGCGUGUGUGAAGAAGGCAUUCGGGUUGUAAAGCACUUUCAGCGAGGAGGCGUUACUCGCAGAAGAAGCACCGGCUAACUCCGUGCCAGCAGCCGCGGUAAUAC